CCUACGGGUGGCUGCGGUGAGGAAUAUUGGUCAAUGGACGCGAGCCUGAACCAGCCAAGUAGCGUGAAGGAUGACUGCCCUAUGGGUUGUAAACUUCUUUUGUAAGGGGAUAAAGUGCGGCACGUGUACCUUUUUGUAUGUACCGUACGAAUAAGGAUCGGCUAACUCCGUGCCAGCAGCCGCGGUAAUACGGAGGAUCCGAGCGUUAUCCGGAUUUAUUGGGUUUAAAGGGUGCGUAGGGGGUUCGUUAAGUUAGGUGUGAAAUUCCGGGGCUCAACCCCUGCAUUGCAUUUGAUACUGGCGGGCUAGAGUUAAGUUGAGGUAGGCGGAAUGCGUGGUGUAGCGGUGAAAUGCAUAGAGAUCAUGAAGAACACCGAUGGCGAAGGCAGCUUACCAAACUACGACUGACGUUGAUGCACGAAAGUGUGGGGAGCAAACAGGAUUAGAUACCCCUGUAGUC
rnacentral:rRNA from 1 species